rnacentral:miRNA from 1 species
UGCCGAAGCCUGGAGGAAUAUC